rnacentral:rRNA from 1 species
GACGAACGCUGGCGGCGUGCUUAACACAUGCAAGUCGAACGGAAAGGCCCUGCUUUUGUGGGGUGCUCGAGUGGCGAACGGGUGAGUAACACGUGAGUAACCUGCCCUUGACUUUGGGAUAACUUCAGGAAACUGGGGCUAAUACCGGAUAGGAGCUCCUGCUGCAUGGUGGGGGUUGGAAAGUUUCGGCGGUUGGGGAUGGACUCGCGGCUUAUCAGCUUGUUGGUGGGGUAGUGGCUUACCAAGGCUUUGACGGGUAGCCGGCCUGAGAGGGUGACCGGCCACAUUGGGACUGAGAGAGGGACCAGACUCCUACGGGAGGCAGCAGUGGGGAAUAUUGCACAAUGGGGGGAAGCCUGAGGCAGCAACGCCGGGUGCGGGAUGACGGCCUUCGGGUUGUAAACCGCUUUCGCCUGUGACGAAGCGUGAGUGACGGUAAUGGGUAAAGAAGCACCGGCUAACUACGUG